UUGAGCGAUUUACUUCGGUAAAGAGCGGCGGACGGGUGAGUAACGCGUGGGUAACCUACCCUGUACACACGGAUAACAUACCGAAAGGUAUGCUAAUACGGGAUAAUAUAUUUGAGAGGCAUCUCUUAAAUAUCAAAGGUGAGCUAGUACAGGAUGGACCCGCGUCUGAUUAGCUAGUUGGUAAGGUAACGGCUUACCAAGGCGACGAUCAGUAGCCGACCUGAGAGGGUGAUCGGCCACAUUGGAACUGAGACA
rnacentral:rRNA from 1 species